rnacentral:lncRNA from 1 species
ACUGCCUCGCUCAGGCUGCCGAUCGGCUCGUUCUCUCUGCGUUGGGACCGCGGAGGGCAUUCGCUGUGUGACUCAGGGCAAGUGUGCGCACCUCUCUGAGCCUCCGCGGCCUUCUCUAGCAAAAUGGUGGAGCCGGUACCCGGCUGUAAGGCAAGCUGGGAUGCGCGGAGUAGCGGGUGGAAAGCUGGACUGGAGUUCUCACUCGGCCGCUGGGUGACUUCGGUGCACUAGGGAUAGUAACAGUACCACCUCGUAGGGUUGUAGAAAGACCAAGUGAGUUAAUAUUUGUAAAGUGUUUAGAACAGCGUCUACUGCAUGGAAAGUAGUAUUUAUUUGUUAGAGAGACUCCAGGAGGUCUUGCCCAGGGAUUGACUUCUCCCUUCCCUGUCUCCACCCCCCACAUUCCCGUUUGUGAGCCAAGCCUUGCUUUUGCACCGGCCGGGCUCUCUUGCCUGGAAAUGCAUACCCAUCUCAAACCUGGGCUUUAAAAUCACCUCCUCUGGGACGCCUUCCUCUACUUCUCACAGUUCAGGCCUGUUCUGCCCCACACAGCAGAAAAUGCCCACGAUGCAAUACCAGAGUCUGCAUGGGACCAUUUCAACAACCCUUAGAAGCUGACUCAGCUGUCUCCUGGCCCUGACUUUUCUAAGAUGAGAGGAGCUGGAACCCUCAAAGGCUGAGAGUAUCCCACCCACUUCACAGAUGAAGCAAACUGAGGCCCAGAGAAGGGAAAUUACUUGCCCAAGAUCACCCAGCAAGUAAGAAACAGAGCUGGAGAUGAGCUCAGGCCAGCACGGAACCACGCAAACUCCUUCUGUAGGCUUUGUAAAGGAUUGAUGAGAAAAGCAGAUGGUUAAGAGCUCUACAACUUCUGUGAGGUAAAGAAUAUCUGCAGGGCUGGACGUGGCGGCUCUUGCCUGUAAUCUUAGCACUUUGGGAGGCCAAAGUGGGUGGAUUGCUUGAGUCUAUGAGUUCAAGACCAGCCUGGGCAACAUGGUAAAACUCUGUCUCUCUAAAAAAAAAAAAAAAAAAAAAUUAGCUGAGUGUGGUGUUGUGUGCUUGUAGUCCCAGCUACUUUGGAGGCUGAAGCGGAAGGAUCCCUUGGCCCAGGAGGCAGAGGUUGCAGUGAGCUGAGAUUGUGCCACUGCACUUCAGCUUGGGUGACAGAGCCAGACCUUAUUUAAAAAAAAAAAAAGGAUAUCUGUGAUUACAAGAUUACCAUGCAAUUUUGAAAGCCUGCUGUUGCCCAGCUGGACAGCUAGAGUUAUUCUCAGUGGUGGGAUGGCUGAACUGGGGGCCCACUGUGGAGAGCUGGUUUCCCACUGGAGUUCUCUGAAAAGGUGCCUGAUUUCACAGCUCUGAUUCUACAGAAGGAGGCCGGACCCUUCACGUAAUUGCUACCCUUUAUUUAUGGAGCUAUUCCUCUGUCGGGAUGCCCUUUAUAUGUGUACAGUCUGUGCUGCAGUCGAUUCUUAUAGUGAUUCUAUGCAGAAGUUACUUUAGAGGAGGCUGCUGGGGCGCAGGGUGGGUAGGUACCUUGUCAGCAUGGUGGGGCUGGGUCUCCAGCUGGUUGGGACCCCACCCUCCUAUCAUGGCCCAGGAGUGAGGCAUUCAGGGCUGGACCACCAGCAUUUGUGAAGCUUUUGCCCCAUUAUCCCAUCAGAACAUCUUCUUGGCCCUGGCAGGCAGCCAGGGCAGGGCCAUUCUCCACCUUACUGACAAAGAAGCCCAGGGAGGGGAAGAGGGUGCUCCCCCAACACCUCCAUUGCCUCUGCCUGCUUAGUCCAGAAUGCAGGAUAGAGAAAUAAUGGGAAAAGCUCCCAAGUGUUGCUGGAUCUCUGCCUGCCAGGGAAGCUGUGACCCCAGUAAGGGCAGGGUGUUCCUUCCAGGGAACUCGAGGUGGGGCAGGAUGGGUAGGGAGUGAGAUCAGAGGGAAGGCCAUGUUGGGAAGAUGGGAAGGCAAGUCUCUGGGGGUUUGUGGGAUAGAGGAAGGGAACAUCAUAGAACAGGCCAGGAAUAGGAGCUUGACCUGGAGAUUACUUUGCAGCAGGUUUAAACAGGGGCCAUGUGAGAGUGUGGAGCCCUGGGGUCAGAGGUUACUGGAUGCAAAUUAUGACUCUGCCACUUAUGGGAAUGGUGAGUUAGGACAAAUGAUUUCCCUGGGCCUCAGGGUCUUCAUGUAUAAAAGGGCUGAAGCUCAGUGGGUAACUGGAGCACUGCCUGGGUUAGAUCCUGGCUCCACCCCUUUCCAGUGUGACCUAGGGUGAAUGAGUUCACCUCUCUGGGCAUCAGUGUCCUUGUCUCUAAGAUGGACUUGAUAAUAAUGAAAGCUACCCCUCACAGGGCUGUGGUGAGGAUGAAGGGGUCUGGCAGCACAUGUAGAAUUCUUAGAGCAGGCUUUUUUCCUGCAGAGUCUUUGUUGCUAUCAUCAUCAUCAUCAUCAUCCUCAUCCUCAUCAUCAUCUACCUCCAGGGAUUCUUGGGGGGCUUAAACAAGGCAGGUUGUACAAAUUAUCUGGCACAGACGUCAUUAAAUAAUAACAGGGCAGAGUGACGGGUGCUGUGAUACAGGGAAGAGCUGGGAGAGACACAGGAAAGAGAAAAGACUUCUGUCUGGCUGGGUGGAAGAAGGGUGUGGAAGGUAUGGAAGCCAAGGGAAAACUUCCCCUUUGCCCUCUGAAGGUUCACUGAAAAGUCAACUGACAAAAGGCAGAUGAAUAGCAGAAAUGGCAUGCAAAUUUAUUAAUGCGCACACAGGGAGAACCACAGAGUGAUUGAUUACUCCCCACUCUGCAAUGGGGUGCAGAAGCUUAUAUGCCAUCUUGAGGUUACAGAAAGAAUGGGGGCUUGGGGCCUGAGCGCAGUGGCUCAUGCCUGUAUUCCCACCACUUUGGGAGGCCAAGGUGGGUGGAUCACCUGAGGUCAGGAGUUUGAGACCACCCUGACCAACAUGAAACCCCGUCUCUACUAAAAAUACAAAAAAUUAGCUGGGUGUUGUGGUGCGCACCUGUAAUUCCAGCUACUCGGGAGGCUGAGGCAGGAGAAUCACUUGAACCAGGGAUGCUGAGGUUGCACGAGCUGAGAUCGCACCGCUGCCCUCCAGCCUGGGCAACAAGAGCAAAAAAAAAAAAAAAAAAAAAAAAAAAGAAAGAAAGAAAUGAGGGAGGGAGGGAGGAAGGAAGGAAAGAAAGGGAGGCUUGGAUCCUGGCAAAACAGUUUAUGAGAUGGGGAGAAGAGGAGGCCUCCCUAGCAAAGGUGGUCUUGUUAUGUAGAUGAAAGCUCACAGAUAGCAGCUGUCAGAGAGAGUAGACCUUUGAAGGUACCAGACUCUCAUCAGUUAGUCUGUCCUAGAUCUGACAAGGGAAGGUCCGCAGAGGAAGCCUGCCUGCAUCAAUGCAGAUGUCCCUAUAGAUGCAGGUCUCCCCUACAAAAGACAGCUUUGCAGGCCUACUUCUGUUCCCAGGCUCUCUGAACAGCCAUCUCAAAAUAUGUCAAAGAAGUAUAUUUUGGGGUGAAAUAUUUUUAUUUGCUGCAAAGCCUCGCUCAAAGGACAUGUAGAAGUUCCCUGUGUAGAUGAGGGGAAGACAGAAAGAUGAACUUCUAUCAUCUUUGGUUGUGAGAGAGCAACCAAAGAUAAGGAACAUGGAGCAGUUUCAUGAGCUGCGUGCUUGGAGUGAAGGGCGUGAGGCUGCACGGGAGCACUGGGGCCAGAUUGCAGAGGGCUGGGAAUACCUUGCUGGAGGGUUUAAACUUGACCUGGUAGGUGAGGAGUUCUUUUAAUUUUUUUUUUUUUUUUGAGACAGAGUCUCGCUCUGUCACCCAGACUGGAGAACAAUGGCGCAAUCUCAGCUCACUGCAACCUCUGCCUCUCUGGUUCAACUGAUUCUCCUGCCUCAGCCUCCUCAGUAGCUGGGAUUACAGGCACACGCCACCACACCCGGCUAAUUUUUGUAUUUUUUACUAGAGACAGGGUUUCACCACGUUGGUCAGGCUGGUCUUGAUCUCCUGACCUCGUGAUCUGCCCGCCUCGGCCUCCCAAAGUGCUGGGAUUACAGGCGUGAGCCACCGUGCCCGGCUUUGGUGAGGAGUUCUUACCCGUCUAAAUGGCAGAAUCACCCAGGGCACUAAAAAUAAAUACUGUUUUAUGGUCCUGCCCAACAGUAUUCUAAGUCAGUAGGUCUCAAGUGGGACUCAUAAAUCUUUACAUUUUUCCUUCAACUUUUAUUUUAACUUCAGGGUUACAUGUGCAGGAUGUGCAGGUUUGUUACAUAGGUAAACGUGUGCCAUGAUGAUUUGCUGCACUGAUCAUUCCAUCACCUAGGUAUUAAACCCAGCAUCCAUUAGCUAUUCUUCCUGAUGCUUUCCCUCCCCCGAUCCUACCCCUAACAGCCCCCAGUGUGUGUUGUUUCCCCCUCCCCAAUGUGUCCAUGUGUUUUCAUCAUUCAGCUUAUAAGUGAGAACCUGCAGUGUUUGCUUUUCUGUUCCUGCAUUAGUUUGCUGAGGAUAAUGGCUUCCAACUCCAUCCAUGUCCCCACAAAGGACAUUAUCUUGUUCCUUUUUAUGGCUGCAUAGUAUUCCAUAGUGUAUAUUUGCCACAUUUUCUUUAUCCACUCCAUCCCAGAUGGGCAUUUAGAUUGAAGAAUCUUCACUUUUUAAAGCUUCUCAGGAAAUUCUGAUGCCCACCCAGAAUUGGGAACCUUUGCCAUGGAAGAGGGUGGGGGGAUAUCUUUAAACAGGAAUAGGGUCCAUUGAGAUGCCCACCCCAGACCUCCAAUAUAUGGGGAGAGAGCUUGAGAAGGUGGGAAGUGUGUGUAGGAGACUCUGACCCCCAGCCUUCCACCCCUCUCCAAAGCAGUCCCACACUCUGAUGUUUACCACCAGGGCUGACCCCUGGAAGUGCCUCUUCCCUAUAGCCCUCUGGAUCCAGCAAGGACAGACAGCCUUCCCUCCUUCCUUCCUUCUUCCCAACAGUUUUUGAGCCCCUCCACGAUGUGCUGAGCAUGCUGUUGGGUACUGAAAGUGAAUAAAAUAGGUAGUUUCUCCCCGCAACCUCCUGACCUAAAGCUUUGGGUGAUUCCUGCUGUUUUGGCUCUGCUAAGCAUGAAGUGCGUGUCAUCAGGCAUGUGGCUAAGCACAAGAGAGCUGGGACAGGAGUCCACCCUGGGGGCUCAAGCAGUGGCUGCAGGGCUCAGUGGUCCAGCCUCCAGGCCCUGUGGCUUCCUGGUUCCCCCUUCUCACAGGCCCGGUCUCUUGUCCUGGCUCUAGCCUUGCAGGCCAAACUCCCAGGCCGUGCCCUCGGUGCCCCCUACCAGGGGGGUCCUGGUGCAUGGGGUAGGAGUGAGCUGUGCAGCCGCCUUCCCACCUCAUCUUACACAGGAGACAACAACAUUGGGUAAGGUCUGAGCAACUCUUCCCAGGGGCAGGGUUAAGGAUCAUUUCCUCACAGGGGUAGCAGAAACAACAAACACAAGGAAAUGACAGGGAUGCCGAGGAUUUCAGAGCACACAGCUCCGGUCCAGGACGGACUCCCACAGAGAGAUGGGGGGAACGCUCCCGGGGCAGCUUCCUCACCUCCCUCUUGGAGUCGGCUCUUGUGUCUUCAUGCUGUGUUCUGUUGUUUCCUUUCAUCAGGAUCCCUUGCCCACACCAACCCCACCCACACCAUCACCGAUGGCACUGUUUCACUCGCUCAUUGCCAUUCAUUUACUUCUUCCUUUCUCAUUCAACACAUAGGUACCAUGUGCCAGGCACAGGAUAAAGCCAUAGGCAAUAUACAGCCUCAUGUGGUGUUCCCAGUUGGAUGGGGUCACCAACACAAUCAGACAGCUCUAAUAUAACAUGAUAAUUGCCACUGUGGAGUUGUGCAUAGGGUGUUAUAAAACCAAGGAGUAACCCAGGGAAGGCUGAUUCUUGAAGAAUGAGUAGGAAUUUAUGCAGCGCAUACCAAGCAGUGAGAAUAGCAAAUGCAAAGGCACGAAGUUUGUGAUGGCUACAGCAUGGCAGGUUCAGGGGAGCAGAGGGAGUGGAGGCAGGGAGAUGAGCAGGGGCAUCCAUGAAGGGCCUGGGAAGCUGGGCUGAAGAACUAGAACUUUCUGCCUUAGGCAGUGGGCAGCCAUUGGAGGAUUUUAGGGAGAGAAGGGACAUGGUCAGAUCUGCAUCUUUUUUUUUUUUUUUUUUUUUUUUUUUGAGAUGGAGUCUCACCCUGUCGCCCAGGCUGGAGUGCAAUGGCGCAAUCUCGGCUCACUGCAACCUCCACCUCCCGGUUCAAGCGAUUCUCCUGCCUCCCGAGUAGCUGGGAUUACAGGUGCCCGCCACCACGCCUGGCUCAUUUUUUGUAUCUUCAGUAGAGACGGGGUUUCACCAUGUUGGCCAGGCUGGUCUCCAACUCCUGACCGCCCGCCUUGGCCUCCCAAAGUGCUGGGAUUACAGGCGUGAGCCACCACACCCAGCCAGAUCUGCCUCUUAGAACAAUGCUAUGGAAGUUGAUUUUGGGGAAUGGGUGGAAGAGGCAGAGGUCAGGCAGAGUGUUCAAUAAAGAGGAUCAGACAGGCCAGGUAGGAGAAGCUGAUGCCUAGCCUAGGACAGGGCAGGUAGCUCAGCAAGUGUGAGCACCUCUCAGUGUAAGAGCUGAGGUGGGAGAGGGGCAGAUGGGCUGUGGAGCUGGCCACACUAAAGGCAGCUGUGUGUUUGCAGGGCUCAGGACCAAAGGGAGGCUGAGUCAGGAAGGCACUCCUGGGCUUCUGGCUUGAGCAGGCUCAAAGUCAACAGAUGCAGCUGCAUCUGUGUCUAGCGAUUGGGAAGGUCCACAGCAGGACUCCAGCUCAUACCUGGGAGUCAGGGCAAAGUCCAGCCUAGGGAAGAGCCCCCAAGAGCCAGGCUGGGUGUCAGGUGGGGCCCUUGUCCUGAAGGGAGAAGAGACUACAAGGUAGAGCACCAAGCACACCUGGCUCUGGCACCUUUACGUCUCUGGCCACUUCUCUCUUAUGGCUCCCUGUAACAAUGAGAUACGGACACCUGGAGGCACCUGGGGCUAGUUUCUUCCUCAUACCUGCCCCGCUCCGAUGAGGCUCCCUCCAGGCUCCGCAUCUUGACUUAGUUACAACCUGAUCCUGAGCUGGGACCCAAGGGUGUCCUGCUCCUGGCUCCAAUCUCCUGGUGAGGAUGAACUUUGGUUUGGCUCCACCUGCUCAAGUGCCUUCGGAAGUGUGCCCACCUUGCCAGCCUCGUCAGAAUGCAGUCUCAGGAUGAUGAAAGAGUUCAGGAAAUGCCACCCCAAGGUACGUCACUUUGGACUUCAAACUGAGAGCAUUUGAGGAACAGCAAAUGCAGGGAGGGACUUUCUCUGAACUUCCCUUAUCUGCUUCAAGAUAAAUCCUCCAAAAGGAACUCAAUGGUUAUAACUCCCCUCCCCAGGAACCUCAUCAACCAGAGAAGAGUAAACUCAGAUCACAGGACAGGAGACUGGGGGUCAACACCACCCCCAGACAGACUUUAUCACAUAUCACCUAUUCUUCUGAAGGCCCAUUCAUCUUUCCUCCAAAUCAUUUACUCUCUCCUAAGUUGCCUGAACCCUCCCUCCGCUCACCCCCUUUAAGAGGUAUAUAUGCUCUCACUGAGGUUUAGGACAUUUGCUUUUCUUUCAUGUGAUGCCCCCAUGCAUGUAGUAUAUUUGUGUACCUUUUCUUCUGUAACUCUUUCUUCUACUGUCAGUUUAUUUCAUAGAGUCAAUUACCGAACCCUCAGAGGGUAGAGGGGAAAUCUUCCCUCCCCUGCAGUGAUGCUCUGGGACUGCCAGACACCUGGUGUCUAAUAGACACCAGAACUCACUCCCAACAGCCCAUUUGGGCAAUUAGUCGCUCAUAUGAUAAACAUUUUUUUAAACCCCCAAAGUGUACCAGUCCUUGGACUGAAAGCUGGAUUUACAAGGUCAAAUCAGAUUCAGUCCUUGUGAUAGAAGAGUUCAUAAUACAGUGGAGCCAAACGCAUGAAACAUAACACAGCCUAUUACAACACAACGCGACAUGACAGCUUCACACAUCCCAACACAGGAUACAAGGGCUCAGGUCUGGUUUCUAACUUCUGGGGCCUCAGCUGAGAAAAGGGCAGCUCCCAGUGAAAGGAGGCUUAUUAAUUAGGGAGGGAGCUUAUUGGAAUGUCAGCAGUGGAAUGCAGAGGGGAAGAGACUCUAAGUCAGACUAGCUGCUUCAGUCCUGGCACCAUAAUCUUGGAUGGAUGACAGAACUCUCUGUGCCUUAGUUUCCACAUCUACAAAAUGGAGAGAAUAAUAGUGUGUAUGUCAUAGGGCUUAAGGAUUAAUUGAGAUAAUACACGCAAAGUGCCUGGCACAGUGCCUAGAAGGUAUAGCAAGCACAAUAGCAUUAGCUGUGUGGUUCUUGUUGCCAUAGAAUUAUAGAACCUGAUUAUACUCUUAGGUUCUUGGAGUCAGAGAACUGUAGAAUCAUAGAACCCUAGGACCUUAGAACCUUAGACAUAGAGGUUUAUAAAUAUAUAUAAAUAUAACGUGCACCAGAAUAUUAGCUAGGAGGGUGAAGAAGGGAGAUCUCCCCAUUCCUUCAGAUUGAGGCGAAAUGUCCUCUAAUGCCUGAGUUCCAGGGCUGUCACAUUCAGUUGCUCAGGUUGUACCUAAUAUACCUCUAAAGAAGGCCAUUCACAUAGACUUCGAUGUGAAUGGAGUUCCUUAGACGCAGCAUGACAUGCACCAUUGCGUGAGAAAGCCCACAUUUCUCCCAGAGAAGUCGGCUAAGUCCCAGGGGGCUUACACUUAGUACCAUAAUCUCUGCCUCCAGCAAAACAUGCUGGCUUUGUCCUGAGCCACACUGACCUGAAUGUGAUGAAACUGAAACUUGGAUUCCAUAUAAAAAUAAAAUCACUCCUGCACGUUGUGCACAUGUACCCUAAAAUUUAAAGUAUAAUAAUAAUAAAGUUAAAAAAAUAAAAAUAAAAAAAUAAAAUCACUCUCCUUAAGCAUUCCCAAGAGCAGAUUACACAGAGGUCCAGAAUGUUCUGGAGAGGUAUCACAUCUUGUGAAGCACAGCUUAUUGCUACCCAGAUGUACAAUGAGAUGUGAGCUAUUCCUCCCUGACCUGUCAUCUUUCUGCUCACUUCUCUCCCUCCCUCCCAAUUUGCUCCUCAGGAGCCCAGGCAUAAGCUAUCCCAGGCUCUUGGUGGGGUCUUAACUCAAAGCCCUUAUCAAAGCAUUUUCCUCAACAAAAGUAGUUCCUUUUCCUAACAGGAAUUUGGGCCAUAUGUUUAGGUUGUAAUUUUUGUAUGCCUUAUCAUAUUUAGUGCCACUUAUAAAACCUGAGACUCACAGAAUUUUAAUAGCAAAUAAUCUAAGAAACAAAAAUUUUGGAAUAACCCAGCCUAAGGACCACAAGUUCUAAGAAUUGUGGAGAAUUUCAGAAUCCCAAAAAUCUUAACAAUUAGAAGAGGCCUUAAGGGGUCAUUGAGUCCACACCUUAUUCAACACAGGCAUCUCCUCUGCAACAUUGCUGGCAAGUGCUGAUACUGCCUCUGCAACAACAACAAAAAAGCAUACUUCUGAGAAAAAUUGGAAGACAGCUUGUUAUCUGAACUAUGCGUAGACUUGAAUAAUCUAUUUUUGUUUUUUUUGAGAUGGAGUUUCGCUCUUGUUGCCCAGGCUGGAGUGCAAAGGUGCGAUCUCAGCUCACCGCAACCUCCGCCUCCCAGGUUCAAGCGAUUCUCCUGCCUCAGCCUCCUGAGUAGCUGGAAUUACAGGCAUGCACCACCACACCCAGCUAAGUUUGUAUUUUUGGUAUUCUUUGUAUUUUUAGUUUCUCCACGUUGGUCAGGCUGGCCUCGAACUCCCACCCUCAGGUGAUCCACCUGCCUUGGCCUCCUAAAGUUCUGGGAUUACAGGCAUGAGCCACUGCACCCAACCUGAAUAAUCUAUUAGAGUCUUUAUCUCUAAGAAGAGAAAUACAUCUGAACUAAAGGGUAAAAAAUGGCAUGUUUUAAUUGGUAAGUCUAAAUGCAAAACGAUGACAAUAAAAUUUUAAAGGACUGCUUCCUUCUUAAGCUUUAUUUUCGUCCUCUGUCAGUGUAUUGCUAGACUCAUCUUUCCCAGACACCCAGACCUCCCACGAGAGUAUGUACAUUCCAUUUGGCUUGAUUUCAAGUGCUAAUGUAUAAAGCUUCUGGGUUCUGGGUCUGGCAAGCUAUUUCUCAUGUUCUCUGAUAAAAUAUUGAAAACCAUCUCUAAGGUCUUCCAAGAGGGGAUAUGUGGAAGAUACAUUUCAAUUUUCCACUGCAUUUCAACCUUAAUAUAAUGUGAUUAGCUACAGCAUUGAAAAUUAGCUUAAUACUGGCCCAUCUUAUUAUAGGGGCCAAGGAAAAACUUUCCCUUUAUCCUCUGAAGGUCCACUGUAAUCAACUGACACAAAAGGCAGAUUAAUAGAAGAAAAGGCAUAACCAUUUUAUUUUAAUGUACAUAGCACAGGAGAACUGAAGGAGAAUGAUUACCCUGCUAUCUUAAUUUAAUUCCAAUGUGGUCUGAGAGCAGACAUUGUAUGGUUUCUAUUAUUAUAAAUUGGUUAAGCUGUGCUUUAUGGCCCAGAAUGCAGCCUGUCUUAGUGAAUGUUCUGUGGGAGCUUGAGACGAAUGUGUUUUCUGCUGUUGCUGGAUGAAGUAUUCUAUAGACACCAAUUAUAUCCAGUUGAUUGAUGGUGUUGUUGAGUUCAACUAUGUUCUUACUGAUUUUCUGCCUGCUGAAUCUGUCCAUUUCUCAGAGGGAUGCUGAAGUCUUCAGCUAUACUAGUGGAUUCAUCUAUUUCUCCUUGUAGGUCUGUCAGUUUUUGCCUCCAUAGUUUGCUGCUCUGUUGUUAGGCACAUACCCAUUAAGGAUUUAACUAUGUCUUCUUGGAGAAUUGACCCAUUUAUCAUUAUGUAAUGUCUCUCUUUAUCCCUGAUAAUUUUCCUUGCUCAGAAGUCUGCUCUGAAAUGAAUAUCGCUACUCUCACAUUCUUUUCAUUAGUGUUAACCUGUUAUAUCUUUCUCCAUCUCUUUACUUUUAAUCUAUAUGUGUCUUUGUAUUUAUUUUU